AACGUAGGAGACAAACGUUAUCCGGAGUUACUGGGCGUAAAGGGCGUGUAGGUGGUUUCGUAAGUCUGGCGUGAAAUAUCUCGGCUUAACCGAGGCAGGUCGUCGGAUACUGCGGAACUAGAGGACGGUAGAGGCGUGUGGAAUUCCGGGUGUAGUGGUGAAAUGCGUAGAGAUCCGGAGGAACACCAGUGGCGAAGGCGACACGCUGGGCCGUACCUGACACUGAUGCGCGACAGCAUGGGGAGCAAACAGG
rnacentral:rRNA from 1 species